rnacentral:rRNA from 1 species
UCCUGGCUCAGGACGAACGCUGGCGGCGUGCUUAACACAUGCAAGUCGUACGAGACGAUUGAAAGCUUGCUUUUGAGAGUCGAGUGGCAAACGGGUGAGUAACGCGAAGACAACCUGCCGUAAAGAUGGGGACAACAGUUCGAAAGGACUGCUAAUACCGAAUGUUGUAGAGUUUCCGCAUGGGGAUCCUACUAAAGGUGGCCUCUACUUGUAAGCUAUCGCUUUACGAUGGGUCUGCGUCUGAUUAGCUAGUUGGUGGGGUAACGGCCUACCAAGGCGACGAUCAGUAGCCGGUCUGAGAGGAUGAACGGCCACAUUGGAACUGAGACACGGUCCAGACUCCUACGGGAGGCAGCAGUGGGGAAUCUUCCGCAAUGGGCGCAAGCCUGACGGAGCAACGCCGCGUGAGUGAAGAAGGGUUUCGACUCGUAAAGCUCUGUUGUCGGGGACGAAUGUGGAGAUGGUGAAUAACCAUUUUCAAUGACGGUACCUGACGAGGAAGCCACGGCUAACUACGUGCCAGCAGCCGCGGUAAUACGUAGGUGGCGAGCGUUGUCCGGAAUUAUUGGGCGUAAAGGGAGCGCAGGCGGGAAGGUAAGUCUAUCUUAAAAGUGCGGGGCUCAACCCCGUGAGGGGAUGGAAACUAUCUUUCUUGAGUGCAGGAGAGGAAAGCGGAAUUCCUAGUGUAGCGGUGAAAUGCGUAGAUAUUAGGAGGAACACCAGUGGCGAAGGCGGCUUUCUGGACUGUAACUGACGCUGAGGCUCGAAAGCGUGGGGAGCAAACGGGAUUAGAUACCCCGGUAGUCCACGCCGUAAACGAUGAAUGCUAGGUGUAGGAGGUAUCGACCCCUCCUGUGCCGGAGUUAACGCAAUAAGCAUUCCGCCUGGGGAGUACGGCCGCAA